UACGAAGGGGGGCUAGCGUUGCUCGGAAUGACUGGGCGUAAAGGGCGCGUAGGCGGCGCAGUUAGUCAGGCGUGAAAUUCCUGGGCUCAACCUGGGGGACUGCGCUUGAUACGGCUGUGCUUGGGGGAUGGAAGAGGCUCGCGGAAUUCCCAGUGUAGAGGUGAAAAUUCGUAGAUAUUGGGAAGAACACCGGUGGCGAAGGCGGCGAGCUGGUCCAUUACUGACGCUGAGGCGCGACAGCGUGGGGAGCAAACAGG
rnacentral:rRNA from 1 species